rnacentral:rRNA from 1 species
AGAGUUUGAUUAUGGCUCAGGAUAAACGCUGGCGGCGUGCCUAAAACAUGCAAGUCGAACGGCACCUUUCGGGGUGUAGUGGCGGACGGCUGAGUAACACGUGGGUGACCUGCCUUCGAGCGGGGGAUAACUGCCCGAAAGGGUGGCUAAUACCGCAGAUGUCUGAUCUUCGGUGAGCAGACUGAACUUGAGGGGUUCGAAGAGGGGCCUGCGUCCGAUUAGCUAGCUGGUGGGGUGACGGCCUACCAGGGCGACGAUCGGUAGCUGGUCUGAGAGGAUGAUCAGCCAGACUGGGACUGCGAACGGCCCAGACUCCUACGGGAGGCAGCAGUUAGGAAUUUUGGGCAAUGGGCGGAAGCCUGGCCCAGCAACGCCGCGUGGGUGAUGAAGGCCCUCGGGUCGUAAAGCCCUUUUCCCAGGGAAGAUGAUGACGGUACCUGGGGAAUCAGCCCCGGCUAACUACGUGCCAGCAGCCGCGGUAA